AUGAAAACAGCGUCGGCAGGUUCGAUUCGCGUCAGAGGUCGAGUUGGCCGCGGGCCGGCUCAUGGGCCGCCUGGCCGUCGACCAGCAUGAAUCACGCUGCCAUGUUUUUUGCUCUGGUUUAUGUGCCGUCAAAUAAAGAACAAAGGGGCCAAGCGCGUGCAGCCUUUUUUUCUUUCCUCUUUUUUUUGUGCUGGAGAAAAAGGUCUCUUUUGCAAGCCGCCAUCCGACACCGCCCUUUGGCCCGCUGCCAAAGAGGCCACACCGGCGCAUGCAAGAGAGAGAGAAAAGGAAAAAAAAAGGCAAUCGCACAGCAGACACAAGAGACCGCACGGCGCCGUGCGCGUCGUGUGGUCGAUCGAGGCCGACCGACGGCGUCGUUGUUGCAGCAAAAAAAAAAGAAUGGCAAUGAAAAAAAGGAGCGAGGAAAAAAAAAGCAACAGAAAGAACAAGACGUCUAGGGCGCGAUCUUGGGCGUCUGCGGCGACACGUCGCCCAGAGGCCGCAAGAGGGCGGCCGAAGCAGACACCUGUCGACUGUUCCACGGCGGGAGGCCAAAGCCAAAGAGCGACGCCAUCUGGUCGAGCACGGCCGCGGGCGCGCCGGGAUCCGUGUCGAGGCCCUGGCACGCCAAGAUCAGGUCGGACGGCGCGCGCAAGAGACGCCCCGAUGCCAACGUCACGAUGCCGCACAAAAGUCGCGCUAGACCGUCGACGGUGCGCGCCGGGUCGGCAGCCCGCCACACGCGCAAGAGGCUCUCGGGCGUUGGCGGAUCAAAUGCCUGCACAAAGAUCGCUUGCAGCCGGUUGUAAAAGGCGGUCCGCGCUUCGGGCGAGGCGACCGCCGCGUCGACAUCGGGCACCGGCUGGUCGGGUCCGGCGGCCACGGCGGUCCACAGGGCCGCGAGAUCGUCGGGCGUCGCCUGCGGAUCGAGGACGGCGCGCGCCAGGG
rnacentral:lncRNA from 1 species